rnacentral:lncRNA from 1 species
UUUAUAUGGGAAGUGGAAAAUUGCCCUUUGGAUGCCUCAGCAAUAUUUUCUGGCUUGGGGAAAAAAAAAAACAACAAAAAACAAAAACCAAUUUCUGCUCCCUCGGACUGUCACCUGGCCCCACAGAGAAAUGUUUUAAUACAUUUUUAAAAUGAGAAAGAAAAAAAAAAAAACAAACACACUGCUGUGCUCUGCUCUGUGUUGCAUUAUUAAAGAGGAGAUGUUGGGUCAUUACUAAUGCAGUAAAGCACCUGGACCUUUGCACUUUGUUUAAACAUGCAUAUCUUGGAGAGGAGAUUACAGGAGGAUAAAGUACAAUAUUUUUCAGACUUAAGUGAGCUCAGGUUGAAAAAAACCUGCAUUAAAAACCUAAAAAUGGAAAAGCCACUUACUCCGCUUGCCGAAUUUAAGUGGCGAUGCUCGGUUUGUUAACUUUUGUUAAAACAAGGGUCUUUUCUGUGUUAUCGGAGGGCGUCAGUUGAUAAGGGGAAGGGUGUUAGCUGCGAGGCAUUGCACACUUUGCAGCCUCCCGGGCCGAGCCCACGCUUCUUGCUGAAAUCCACGGCUCGCCGGGAGCCUCCUGCUUCUUGGAAGCAGGGUCAGGAGUCGCUCUGGGGCUUCGGCGGCUCCUCCAGCUGCUCGAGCACAAUUCCAGGCAGCGCUGGCUGACAGGGACUUAUUGACCGCAGCUGCCACUGGACUCAGCCAGCAGAAAUGCAAAAUACCUACAAAAAACUGCAGCAAACAGGACGGUCCCGGGCCCCUUGUGCUGGCCGCCGCAGCGUGAUUAGGUCCCCUCGCUUUUGGGGCGCUGCUUCUCCAUCCAUCUGAGACCCAAGCAUGAAAAGCCACUUGAUUGAGGAUAUUUUGAUGAAACUUUCAGGUUCUGUGGGCUAAACACGUGUGCUGUACGAUGCAAUUAGUGGCGCUCUGUCUUACCCCCUCAGCACAUCGCGAAACGUCCAUCGCGUUGCCGCGAUUGAAAUUCUGUGCUGAGACGUUCGCAGACAAAUGGAAAAAGAGCGUGCUCACCCAGAUGGAUAAAAAGGCCUCUGGUAAUGACAGACAAAGUGUAUUACAGGACAGGAAUGUCAUGCAUGAUCAGCAAAGCUGACAGUUCGGAGCUAGAUUGGCUCUCUGAAGCAUACCUCAGUAAUGACAAAUGGUAAAAGCAGGUGGAAACAGAUCCAUCCAGCUGCUGCAGCCGAGGGGAAGUUGGAAGUAGCCUGAAUCCAGCAGGUUUGUACAUGUUACGUGGAAAGUGGCUGCUUGU